AACGAACGCUGGCGGCGUGCCUAACACAUGCAAGUCGAGCGCGAAAGCCCCUUCGGGGGCCAGUAGAGCGGCGCACGGGUGAGUAACACGUGGGUAAUCUGCCCUUAGGUCCGGAAUAACCCAGGGAAACUUGAGCUAAUACCGGAUAAGACCACGAGACGAGAGUCUCGGGGGAAAAGCAGGGGCCUCCUUCGGGAGCCUUGCGCCAAAGGAUGAGCCCGCGGCCCAUCAGCUUGUUGGCGGGGUAACGGCCCACCAAGGCGAAGACGGGUAGCUG
rnacentral:rRNA from 1 species